UUGUAGCAUCGUACUUCUGGUAUUUGUUGGUCAUAUCUACUAACGGUUGUUUAAUACUGCCAUCAAUCUGAAACAUAUAUUAAAUUAUGAUUGUAUUUUCAAAUCCCUAAAACAAACCCUGUACUGAUUUAUGUUGGCAAUUUUAUUUUUAUUUAAAGAUGUUAGUCGUGACAUGUGACGUACGGCCACUUAUUGGAUCUGAUCUAAUGAUUUGAUACCACGAAAUGAUGCUUCUCCUGAUAUUAAUGGUUUUAUGACACAGGUCAAAACAACCUCCAAUUAGACCAAGCAAACCAAUCAAGAAGAAAAACACACCAAAGCCAAUGAGAGCAUAAGCGGCAACCUUGACCAAGUCCACAAGAUUCUCUGCUCCAAACGCAGCACUGCCUCCAGUACUAGCACUAGCAAAAGAAUCCGUAGCUGUGGCGAAGAGCAAGUCCAAUGCCGGUGUAUAAGCAAAUACUAAAAUACCAACAAUUAGUAAUAUGAAGCCGAUUACCUGAAAAAAAGUAAAAUGCAAUCUAGAAAUUGGGAGUGGCAAGCAAUUAUUUUCAACUAUCAUGUCAAAUCAAGAGCUUUAGAUUUAACAAUAUUUUAUUCAUAAACGAAUGGGGUUGAGCAGCAGGCUUGAAACCUAUAUCGGCUCUUUCCAUAGAUACAAAGGGAAAGUAUUUACAGGCUCCGUGUUUAUUUGUACCAGAAUGGGAGAGAAGUCGUACUUUGAUUUCAGUCUGAGCUAAGCCAGAGUGGAUUACACUGGGGACAGUUCUCCCUCAUCACCUGACUUACACCCGACAAGUGUUACUUAACAAAGAUUAUAUC